AGCUUGACACUGAACAUUGAGCCUUGAUGUGUAGGAUAGGUGGGAGGCUUUGAAGUGUGGACGCCAGUCUGCAUGGAGCCGACCUUGAAAUACCACCCUUUAAUGUUUGAUGUUCUAACGUAGGCCCCUUAUCGGGGUUGCGGACAGUGUCUGGUGGGUAGUUUGACUGGGGCGGUCUCCUCCUAAAGAGUAACGGAGGAGCACGAAGGUUGGCUAAUCCUGGUCGGACAUCAGGAGGUUAGUGCAAUG
rnacentral:rRNA from 1 species